UGGGGGAUAUUGCACAAUGGGCGAAAGCCUGAUGCAGCGACGCCGCGUGGGGGAUGAAGGCCUUCGGGUUGUAAACUUCUUUUGCUCUGAACAAGGCGCACCAUGGGGUGUGUUGAGUGUAGGGGUUGAUUAGCGCCGGCUAACUACGUGCCAGCAGCCGCGGUAAUACGUAGGGCGCUAGCGUUGUCCGGAAUUAUUGGGCGUAAAGGGCUUGUAGGUGGCUGGUUGCGUCUGUCGUGAAAGCUCAUGGCUUAACUGUGGGUUUGCGGUGGGUACGGGCUGGCUUGAGUGCAGUAGGUGAGGCUGGAAUUCCUGGUGUAGCGGUGGAAUGCGCAGAUAUCAGGAGGAAUACCGGUGGCGAAGGCGGGUCUCUGGGCUGUUACUGACACUGAGGAGCGAAAGCAUGGGGAGCGAACAGG
rnacentral:rRNA from 1 species